GGUGCCUCGUUAGGACUUGUAGCUGGAGUUUCACUCUCACCACCAGAAGGCAAGUGCCCAGCUAGCACAGGCGGUCCAGGAAUGAGACCUGCCAGAGAGCCGCUCCUGGGUCUUGUGCUGCUCAAGCUCUUCAUAACAUCACGUGCAGUCCAGCUUCACAGGAUCACUGCAGUGCCAUCCCAACACUUCUCCUACACAACUUGCUGGCCCCAGCACUGAGCUGCUAUACACGUGUACCACAGAAGUUCCCCUGCCUCUUGCAAGUUUUUCAGCAUCCUUUUGCAAAAUCAAAGGCAGCAUUUGCUUCCUGCAAUAUCUCACGGCAAGAAGGGAAACCUGUAUUUGAGCUACUCCAGCCAAGCAACUGGCAUGUUUUCACGUUUGCUCCCUGCAGCAUGGGGAGGAAGAGAGAUAAGAUCAGGGCAAGGGAGAUAGGGAAAGUUGCAGCAAGAGGGGACAGGACAGAUUUUUGAGAGACAGAAAGAAAUAGGUCACUGGUUGUUAGAAAGAGAACAAGUGGGGUUUUUUGGUUUUGUGUUCAUCUAGUUGUCCUGGGUCAAAUCCAGUGGAGGCUGGCCAACUUCCAUUAGCUAAGCAGCCGGCCCACUGCAUAUUCCACUUGGGGGUUGCUGUUUCAUUUCUGGAGGCCUUAAAGACACCUGCUAGAGCUCUCUGCUACCAUAGCCAAACGUUACGUACAACUAAAAAUAUGCUUUGUUUAUUUAAAUGAAACUUUUAACAGGCUGUAGGGCUUGUGGACUGAUGUCAACAGCAGUGAAUCUCUGCCUACCCAGACAACAGGUGCAAUGAAAGCAAGGACACUUCUCUCCCUUGGCAUGUAGCAGGGUGCUGGCAGUGGAAGGAAAAGAUAAAAACACAGGAUAAGAGAGGGCAGGUCUGAAGGAUCAAGAAGGCCAAGCGGGAGAGAUUUCAACCUCCCCACCCCAGCUUCUUGCUAUCCCAGAGGACGAGAUCCCACAUUCACUCCUCGCUGUGAGAUAAGAUGAUGCUCUUUGGCAUGAAGAUGUUGCUAGGUGACAUGUUUUUAGGAGAUUUUCCAGGGCAGAAGCCUCCUUCUGGACCACACCCCAGCACUUCUCUUGUUCCAUGACCCUGCGCUCCAGCCAUGCUGGAUGGCUGGUCACAGACCAGCUGCAACUGUGGGAUCCUAACCUGCGAGGAGCCCUGCAACACAGCUCUGUAGGCAUGUGAGAUGCAGCACAGCUGCAGGGAAGUGUGAAAUGGGCGUCCAAAGCAUGAGUCACACAUUCCCCUUGCAGGCUGCACACUAGGGAGACAGCCCAGUCUUGUUUCUUCUCUUUAACUGCUGCAUUCACUGUCUACUGUUUGGAGCUACCCACCUCUUCCACACAUAGGCAGUACGCCUUGCUCUAAGAUGACCCAUGCUGGCAGGCAGAUGAUGUGUUUGGGAAGGAGCAAGAAGUCUCAUCUUGCAAAGAAGAUUUUGUGAGCUCAGUUCAUUCCUCCAACAUGAGCAUCUGGAGGGAAACACAAUUCCAGAGACUCUGAAUCUGGCCCUUUUUAGACUAAAAGCCAAAGAGAUCCUGGGAGCAAGGUGCCAUAGCUGGCAAAUCAGAACAAGAGUUCCAGGAGUAAGAGAGGUUGUGUGAGUCUGUCCUCACAACACCAAAUAUAAUCCACACAGGACUCUAAAACAAGUUAGAGCAAGAAAAUUAAUACAUGUUUAAAUAGACUGUUGUCAUCUAGUACAUCUCACAAAUCUAAUCAGAAGUAACUAAUACUGCAAAAGGCUCUUGCAGUGGCAUCAGAUGUAGCAUUUAAUAGUCAAUUUGCAAAGGCUAUUGGUUUCUUUCUCCCUUUUUUGGAUGUGUGUAGCUGAUGAUUCACAUCAGGUUCUGCUCCUGUCCCAGUCCAUAUUCACUUCAGCUUGUGACCAUACGGACACCAUCCUCUGUCUUCCAUCCCCCUUUUCUUUCACCUACCACAGCAACAAAAUCUCCAGGGUGUUUCUUUACUCACAGUGUUGGACUGUGGCUGAUACACAUCUUAAAGUAAAUACAAAAUAUCACCAAGCUUCUGGGCAGGCAGGUGUGUUUACCCAGCCUCUACCACCCAACCUCACCAUUACAGCAAGCUUCACCAACCAGUCUUCGGGGUUGCAUAAUCUUCUGAUCAGACUCAUGGAGCAGGACCCUGAGUGCACAAAACUUUCCAACAGAAGAAUAACUUUGUACGUUAGCUAAAUGCAGUUUGAUGAAGCACUGAAGGUGUGUUUAAGCCCUAAGCUAUCACAAAGCUUUGAAGCACAUGGUCUGAAUUGAAGCAUGCGCUCACGUUCUCUGUUAAACUGGGGCCCAUGUCCUGAUUUGAAUCGAACUUUUCUCACCUAGCACUGAGUUCAUGGAAGCCACUUGAUCAGCUGGAGAGCAAGACUAGCAGGGUUUGCAAAAUGAGGAUCAGAUCGCCUACUUCACAAGAAUAAAGAGUUGUUCACUAUAUCUAGAACCUUCUUAAAUCUUCUGCAAUUCCCUCUGCAACUUCACCAUCCCAAUGGGCAGUAUCACAGAGUACCUCUCACUGGGAAAAGCCAUGGGACUGAUCCUGCGCACGCCCCAGCACCUCAUGCAGAGCUAAGAGGGGAGUUCCUGCGGCUUACAGAAACCCCCGGGCACCCUGUUGAGGCAGGCUGCCAGCUGUACAUUGAAACUUCGAGGGGAAGGAGACAGCAAGGACAACUUUUGGAGGAGCACGAGUGCUGAGGCAGAUUCCCGCAGCCACACUCGUGGCAUGAAGGAUAUGCACCGCAGUGAAAGCAACCUGCUGACAGCAACGGAGACCAGUUCAGCCCAGUUGCCAGCCGUGAGACAUGAAUCUCGCUGUCCCCACAAAGCUGUGAUCACAUUGCUGCUCUGCUGCCCCUUUUUGUUUAAACAGACACCCCCCCUGCCCCGUGAGAGCUUCCAGCCCUGCACGGGGCUGACCUCAGUGAGGAGUGGGCAGAGCUCCUGGCAGGUACUGCGCUGCAGUGCUCGUCGUCCGAAGCACAGCGCCUCGUGUCCGCAGGCACGCAUGCACCGUUUCUGGUAGUAUCCGCACUAAAUCUCAGCAUUAGAGACAAAUCCUCAGUUCUCUGGCACAACCGUCACUGUCAGAUUUGAUCUCCUCUCAAGGUUACAGAGAUUUUGGAUUGAAGACUAGAGUCUGCAAACUAAAAACCAACCACAAAAAACCAGAUGACUCCUCCAGCCCGUAUUCCUGGAUGAACGGCUUCCAGUGACGCACACUUCUGGCAGUUGCAGCAAGUACCGGUGUAAGAGGCUGCAAUUCCAGCAAAGCCGGUGCACCUGCGCCUCCUCACUUGUCCACCAGCUCUGUCCCCACUUGCCUCAGCUUGCUUGAAUAUCGAAGUAGAACUCAAAGUGACAAGCAACACCUGUUUCCACAGCUAUUUUCCACACCCAGCUACAUCUAACACUUGCUUCAUUGACUCCUUUAAAGCUUAAUAAUGGUUUCAGUGAGCAGUCCUGGUCAAGUUUCUGACUUUUUUACUUAAUGCUUCCAUGGCUGAGCUCAGACAUCUGAAGGAAUCUGGGUUUAAGUAAUCUGCUCAACACAGAAAGCCCUGGAAAUACGCUUUCUGCUUGUCAUCACCUUAAACCACAUGUGCAAAGCUGCAGUACAGUGUGUAUUUUUCCACUGUAGCAAUGCAAUGGCAGGGUUUUGCUUCCCUUGCGUUGGAUUUUCUCAGCAGCUCCUCUACCAGAUGGACUCAGUGAAGUAUAAAACAGGAUGCAUGUCUCAAAAUGCACUCUUAAAAUUCAAGUUUCUAUUCAUGGUACCCACCAAAAGGCUCUGUAUCAUCCUUUUAAAGUACUGAGAAAUGACUAAAAGACCUGACUGAGUUUGUAGAUUAGCUGUUUUAGUUUACAUAUGUGUAAUUUAAAUGUGUACAGUUUGCAGAUGAGGAGUUUAAAACCACAGAGGUCCAAGAAUGCACCAAAAACUUAAAUUUGGCAAAGGGUGACCAGCUGAGUGCUGUACAUGGAUCACAACACAUACUGGGGAAACACCCCAAGAAGUAAAAGUGUAGCAGGCUCUCCAACCUUGGUGGUACCGCGGACGUGGCAGUCCCCGUGCAUGGCAGCAAGGCAACAGCUGCCCGGCUCCUGCCUGCACCCCCGAGGUGGGGCUGCCAUCCUCAGCAUCGCCUGGCCAGCCAGACCGACCUCAGAUCCUUCAAACAGAACAAAUCAAAAAACAAAGCAAACCACAUUCCAGACCUCAGAAGCCAAAUCGCACAACUACAGGGAAAACCGGUCCGUAUCUGACCUCUUUCUCUCCCCUCGCCCACACACAACAGAAGCCAGCUGAAAUCCCCAGUAUUUAGCAAUCGAGGUUACCCUGACAUAGAUCCAGGGUCACACAAGCGUGGCCGGAGCACAGAAGGGACGUGGGAAGCUGCAGGGACUGAGCUCACACCCACACCCAAAGCUUCUGCACUGACAUGCAUAGAUGUGACCCUUUCUGGGGGGAGAAAAUUGUACCUGAGAGGAGCACGACUGCAGCGGGGGCUGAGGUGAUGUCAAGUGCACGACGUCCCUCUCUGAACAACCCCUUCAUUUCUGAAGUCUCGGUGCUAGGAAAUCACAUCAUAUUUCAGGAUUGAUUUCUCUCUCUUACUUCAACCUUCAAAACUGGGAUAUUGUUACAUCUUUGUCAGCAGUGUCAGGAUUUUCCACAACAAAUCAGACAUCUUUUUCCUGUAAAGUUACCUGGAUACCUUACAUGUGCUGUACCCUGCGGAUACUUCAUUUUCACCACCUUCUCCAACAGGACCUUUUCCUUCUCCUCUUUUUCACACUGCACUUCAUAAAUAGUUUAAAUAAAUGCCUAUCCUCGUUUAAUGACCCUGUGCUGUCUGAGCGAGUUUGAAAAAUAUCAUUAGUUACAUGGAGUAACUAAAAAUGACUGUAGGGGAGCUAUUGACAUGAAUGCGUUACCUAUUAUUAGCACCAAUAACCUUGUUUAACAAGCCAGCACAAUCUUUGAAGUAUCAUCCUCAAGCUUUGAAGGCAAUCAUUUUCUGAAGACGGUGGUGGGUUUUUCCCCACCCUUGUAUUACUAAGGACUUGGGAAUCCUACAUCAUUUGCUGCUUCUCUCGCAACAGAAAUGUCCCAAUACCGUAACAGGAUGAGCCCAGUUGCACCAUAUAGCACACCCGCACUUGACUCACCAGACUGCCUUACUUGCUUUAAAGCACGGUGAAGCUUGGGCUGUAUUGUCUAUUUUCAAAGGACAUAUAGUGACGGUGCAAUUAUCUGGCUUAACUGGGACAUGCAUUUAUUUAUGCCCAAGCGGUAAUGUAACUGCAUGUGACCUAAGGCAUAGGAUCCUGGCAAGAACCUUUCUCUGGUGACAAGGUCACAAGCAAAAUGCACUUCAUUUAUUCUAACAGCAUCUUUCUGGGUUACAAGUGAAUUUUUUCUUUACUUUGUCCCUCUUGUAUGUGCUUCUGAAAAGGCUUGGACCACCACUGCCUACCAAUCACCAUUGCUCACCACUCCAGCAAUUGCCAACAUUUCCUGAUAAAUCUUACUGGUGAUGUAAAAAUCACACGUGAUAUUGUAGUUUUCCAGUUUUAAUGUGUUCCUGUGGAAGAGGUAUUAAUCUGUCAAGUCUUAUUUUCCUGCAACAUGAAGCACUGAAAAAUCAUAGAUGUAAGAAAAUCUCAGCUUCUACAAUGUUAGGGUCAAGAUGCCUGCUCCCUCCAUUCUGCAAUACAUGCAGACCACAUUAGAACCACAUUUUCUACAUUCUUUAGCACUGAAAAACAAACAUGAAUUUUCAAAUAAUUAAAAUAUUCCACAUCUAUGUGAGCCUUUAAAGACAAAGGCCAAUUUUCUACGUAAAUAGCAUCCAGCUGGUCCUCCUCCCCGGAAUAAUUAGAGCAGAUACACGCUCUUGUGAAAAUCUGAUCCAAGUAAAACAAAUUUUUCUUGAUUUUUCAAAUAUGAUUCUUAGAUUUCUGUUCCCCAAUUAAAAGAAGAAUGUGACUUUGAUCUCAAAUACUUUGUAACGGAUGUCAAAAAAAGUCUUAUCUACUACUUACAUUUUAACCCAACUUUAUAAGAAACAGCCCAUUGUCAAAGAGCAGGAAAGCUGUGCUAGCUGGGCAGAACAGUGUUAACUACGUGAAAUGCAGUUAGCAUGAAAUGACAUCAAAAAAGUGCUGUCUCAUCAAGCAAAGGCAAUCUGUGGAGGCAAGGUUUGCAGGAGUAGUUCUUUUAUUAGACCAAUUCUUAGAGUCAGAAAAAAGGUCUUUGAUACAAAACCCCCUUCCUUCUGAAAUAAGUUUCACCUCUUUCCCUAAGAUUUUCUCAGUCAUCUUCUCCCUUUAUUUCCUUCAAGUUUGCUUUUUCCCCACUCUUUCCUUCCCUCCCACAGACAAAUUUAAUGGGAAAUUAGUCUGAGGCUUUAGAACAUUGCUAACAAUUGAUACUUUAAUGAAAAGAAAAGCAGAAGUUUUACUUCAGAGAAUUAUCCAUCUUCUGGGUGGCUUUGAUAUUUUCUAAUUUCUUUGUUUGCAACUUCUGUUUCAGAUCUGUAAAGGGCUUGUGUGAUCACAAGCUUGGCUAUUUUCACCAGUUACAGAAGUUGGUUUAACAAAAGCUAUUCCUUUUCCUUUCAAACAUUGCCUCAUUUAUAUCCCUAGACCGUGACAGCUCUACAAUAGCUUGUUUUAUGGAAAUACAUUGGUUCCACAGAGACAGCACAAUGUCAUGCUCUGUAGCUAGAUUCCUAAGACACUUGCCUUGAUGUGGACAAUCCAGAUUUUAAACCAACAAAAUAUCAAUUGCAGAGUGAAAGGCUCACUCCUUAAACGCACACUGAGUUCCUUGGAUGAAAAGGGCUUCUAGUAUUGAAGCAUAACCUUCCUUGCCAGUGUUUUUUCCCCCAAUAAGCACCAUAUCUUCUCCAACUUUAGUUGAUGAACACAAAGCUUUUAAGGAUGGGGUUCGAGCUGAUGCUACGUGUAGUCAGCCUCUCCCAGCAGAUGAUGUUGUGAGGUCCUACCCUCCUUCCUGUGCAAAAAGAGAGGUCACCCUGUCUAGCUCUCUGCUCCUGAUUACUGCAGGAACCAAACCAGUUCCCAGGAGAACAAGGUCAGGAGCCAGCCCAACUCAUGCUGGAAUAAGUAGGGAAAAUUUUUCCCCUUCAAAAGCAACGAUGACCUUUAAGGACUAAAAUGUAUCACAGGAAGAAGCCCCCAUAUCCUGUAUCUACCUUAUGAAUACCAGAAAUAGCAAGACUGGCCAUUUGAUCUGUUUGGCCUUGCUGCACAAUAAAAGGCAAGAGGGAAGUUGGACAUCCUCACUGUCCUGUGGCACGGCAACUUCUGUGCCCUGCAGUUAAGGGCAGGGACAGAGAUAAUCAACAUCUCUGGAAGACACCAGGAUAGCAAAAUCAAGCACCCACCCCUAAGAAGCUGGCACAGCAGGUAAGAAGCAGCGAUCAGAAACUGUUUUCCAUGAAAGUUCAAGUGAAGUGCUUAAAAUCUUUACAGACUUUACACUAAGGCUUAAGAGAGGCAGGCAGGACUGAGAAUGACUUGCUCAAAUGGAUGCCCAUAGGUGUAUUUAAAAAUUAUCAUAAAUUCUGUUAUUUGAAGAAGC